rnacentral:rRNA from 1 species
AUUGAACGCUGGCGGCAGGCCUAACACAUGCAAGUCGAGCGGAUGAAGGGAGCUUGCUCCUGGAUUCAGCGGCGGACGGGUGAGUAAUGCCUAGGAAUCUGCCUGGUAGUGGGGAUAACGUCCGGAAACGGGCGCUAAUACCGCAUACGUCCUGAGGGAGAAAGUGGGGGAUCUUCGGACCUCACGCUAUCAGAUGAGCCUAGGUCGGAUUAGCUAGUUGGUGGGGUAAAGGCCUACCAAGGCGACGAUCCGUAACUGGUCUGAGAGGAUGAUCAGUCACACUGGAGCUUAGACACGGUCCAUGCUCCUGCGGGAGGCAGCAGUGGGGAAUAUUGGACAAUGGUCGAAAGCCUGAUCCAGCCGUGCCGCGUGUGUGAAGAAGGUCUUCGGAUUGUAAAGCACUUUAAGUUGGGAGGAAGGGCAGUAAGUUAAGACCUUGCUGUUUUGACGUUACCAACAGAAUAAGCACCGGCUAACUUCGUG